rnacentral:tmRNA from 1 species
GGGGUAGUAAAGGUUUCGACGGGGGUUCUGAAGAUGGAGAAGCUAUCCGCAGGCCGAUGCGUCAAAUCGCAAACUUAAAUAUAAACGCAGACGAUAAUUACGCGUUAGCAGCAGCCUAAUUGCUGCCGUCAGCCUUAGGGCACUCACACCUUAAGAAUCUGGCGUCGAUCAUGUGAGAAACCUUACCGGCAAAGCUUUGAGCCGGUAGAUGUAUCAUGAAGCUACUAAACCCAUAAGAAUGUCUGUUUUCGUAUGGCGGAGGGAAGGAAAAAGAACAGACUAUGAUAGUAGAAGUACAUGGGAGGGGCUUUCGGACACGAGUUCGAUUCUCGUCUACUCCA